UACAAAGGGGGCUAGCGUUGUUCGGAGUUACUGGGCGUAAAGGGCGUGUAGGCGGUCCGCUAAGUCUGAUGUGAAAGCCCGGGGCUCACCCCCGGAAGGGCAUUGGAAACUGGCGGACUCGAGUCCCGGAGAGGAGGGUGGAAUUCCUGGUGUAGCGGUGAAAUGCGUAGAUAUCAGGAGGAACACCGGUGGCGAAGGCGGCCCUCUGGACGGUGACUGACGCUAAGACGCGAAAGCGUGGGGAGCAAACAGG
rnacentral:rRNA from 1 species